GACGAACGCUGGCGGCGUGCUUAACACAUGCAAGUCGAACGGUAAGGCCCUUCGGGGUACACGAGUGGCGAACGGGUGGGUAACACGUGGGUGAUCUGCUCUGCACUUCGGGAUAAGCCUGGGAAACGGGGUCUACUACCGGAUAGGAUCACUGCCUGCAUGGGUGGUGGUGGAGAGCGUUUGCGGGGUGGGAUGGGCCGGUGGCCUAGCAGCUGGUGGGUGGGGUGAUGGCCGGCCAAGGCGACGACGGGUAGCCGGCCUGAGAGGGUGACCGGCCACACUGGGACUCAGAUACGGCACAGACUCCUAAGGGAGGCAGCAGUGGGGAAUAUUGCACAAUGGGCGCAAGCCUGAUGCAGCGACGCCGCGUGAGGGAUGACGGCCUUCGGGUUGUAAACCUCUUUCAGCACCGACGAAGCGCAAGUGACGGUAGGUGCAGAAGAAGGACCGGCCAACUACGUGCCAGCAGCCGCCGUAA
rnacentral:rRNA from 1 species